GAUUGGGUUCUUAUAAUUUGUAUUUUUGUUGUCAGAUGCAACUGAUCGGUCACCUCUAAUUCUACAUGUUUUCACACUUUCUUUAUCUUUAAUUUUCUCCUACUUAUCUCUUUCUCUAUCUUCUCCAUUAGAGUUAAUAGUGUUCUGGUGAGUUUUUUGUGUUUGAAAUUUUUCUUUGUUUUUCCUUUCUCAUUUUUUUAUCAAUCUUUUCCUGGUAUUCUAUUUUUUUCUUUUGUAUUGUUAAUUUAUCCUCUGGGUUUUCUGUAUACAUGCAGCUAUGGAUACACUCUCCAAACCACACAUGCAUCCUAAUAAGCCAGAUAAAAUCCAAAAGCGUAAGGACGGAAUGAAGAGAAUAUUUUCGAGUAUUGCUACAUUUUCCUCAAUUCUUUCUUGGUGAGAACUUAAACCAUUGAUUCUAUUUUAGACUAUUGAUUUAGAAUCUUCAUUUGCCUAUAAAGUUAUUUUUGCAUUUGUGCUUUAUUUUUCUUAAUGCAAUGUAUAAGUGGAUUUUUGGUCUACAACUACAAGUAUCUAAUUUUUCCUUCUUUUUAAAAAAAUUCUGGGUAGAUUCUGUGUAUGCAUGUGGUCUUUGUUGUUUGAGCGCUUCUAGCAUUAACCAUAUUGAGUUUCCAUCUCAACAGAAAAUGUUGAUUAAAAGGGAAGAACUUUAUUGUGCUUAAGGUGUUCAACAAUAUGACUAAAACUAAAUAACGUUCUACCAUUUCUUUUUUCAUAGGUGGAUUUAUCACAAGUAUCUAUCCUUUUGUAAGACCAGAACUUUUGAACGCACAAAUAUAAGAUGUUUCGGUAACUGUAGGUAUGGUCGUGAAAUAUACAGCAUAUCCUUUACUCGGAUGUGUUUGCAAAUUCAUUUGUAUCUAAAAAGAUGAAGCCUUUUCAUGAAAGAAAAUGAAUAUGGAUAAUUCUUUAAUAGUGCCCUGGAUUUUGACUGUGCAACGAUUAGUUGAACAUGUCAGUCUCCCUCAAUUCUCAUUAUUGCUUUGUUAAUUUCUCUUUUAUAAAGAUUGCGCCUUUGCGGUUGAAGAAUCCCAAACUUGAAAGGCUUCAACUACUUUUGGGGUGUUAUCUAUGAAAUUUUUCUUAUUUAUGUUAGACAAACCAAUAUAACAAAGUUCACUUUUCUACCUACCGCCAAAUAUGUCUUCUUGUGGCUUCAAAUACUCAAAGCUACUCAUAUACAGAAAUUUUCCCAAUAUAUAUGAGAUAUGGGUUGUCUUUGACAGCUGAAAACACAAAGUGCAUCAAGAUAUUGUCCGACAGAGGCCAUAAAGGAAAAGAGAAAAGAACACAAAUUAAUUUUAGCAUCAUUCUUUGUUUAUUACUUGCUAAAUAUGCCAUUGAUAGUUGCUGAAAAGAGCAGAUUGGAGUAUAAAUAAAAUAAUCUUUUUACUGAUAAUCCAUUAAGGCAUAAAAACUUUUUAAGUAAAGAAUCAAGGAUAUUAAACAUCAAGUUUUCUAAGGCUUAAAUAGACGAGUACUCUUUUGUUAAAAUUCAGUUCAAUUAUCUCUCAGGCCUGAGGAACUUUUGGUUGUAUCUGACAAUGGAAAUGUUGUCAGUAUAUGCCUUCCAGGUAAUAUAGUAAGUUAUUGCACUACUUUAUUUGUCAAGUGAAUAAAGGAUUUCCACAUAGGUUCAGGUAGGAUCUUUUUUGUUUGAGUUAAUAGGAAUGGCGAUCCAUGUGAGCUUAAUUGUUAGUUUGACUGUUAGAAGCCAGUGUGCUACAGGAUGUGAUACCACUGUGAUUUCUAAGAAAGUGCCUUGAUUCUCUCUGAAUUAUAAUGUUGAAUGCCGAAAUUGAUUUCAAGUUUCUGAAUUUGUGUUCUCUUUUGCUUGAUCUCGUCAACUGAGGUGAAAUCAUUUUAAGAUUUUUUCCUCCUCUUUAUGAACAAUAGCUGUAAUUUGUUAUAUUUUUUUCAUAGUAAGGGUAGAUAAGUCAUCACCAAGUAACUCAUUCUUUCUUUAGAAUAAAGAAGUCGUCACUGAGUAAUUCAUUCUCUCGCUCAAUCUUUUUAGCUGAUAUUGGACUUUGAUUUCUCCUGGCGUUUCAAGUUAUAGUAUUUCUUUUGCAAUUUUAGUUUAUUUCUUGAAUUGAAAUUUUUGUUAAUUUAGGUUGUGUUUUGUUUACCAUAUUGGAAGGAUCUAAGCAGAGGGAAAAGAAAGAAAUAAUUAUCAGUUUUUUCCUAUGUGUUGAUUAUUAUUUUACUCUUCUUAGUUGAUGCUGAUGUCAUUUUCUUUUCCUUUUAAUUCAUUUUGGUCUUAAAAUUUCAACUUAGAUUUGUUUUCCUUGUGAGGAUUCACUCUCACUUAUGGUUAUGGAUGUUUAGAGUACAUUUAUAUCGAUACUAAGAAAGAAAAAUAUUUGAUGGUUAAGAAAACUGAAAAAGUAUAGUUGAGCUGAAUUAGUUUGAGUUUUGUCUGUAUCUAACUCAUUGAGGUUGUUCUUUGUCAUUCCAAAGCAUAGUGGAUUACUGAAAUCUCAUCAACUUUGUCAAAUGCAGGCCCAAAGUUUUAGUAUCCUCCAGAAUGAUUGAUUCCCAUAAAGAAACAAUGCUGCUUUGUUUAACUUAACUAUGUACUUAUUUGAAUUUUAAAUUUGGUAAGACUUAUAGAUUCUAACCUCAAUUUCUGUUUCAGGUUCCUUAAAAUAGUACCACAAUCGCACGCUUUAAGGAAGAAAGCGAGGAAAUAGAUGAGGUCAUUCUAUCUACAAGGUAGUAAAUUAUUAACUUUUUCUUUGUGAUGGGUUGUUUGUAAUACGAUUUAUACAGCAAAGUUGUUAUUAAAAUGAAAAAAGAAGAACAGAUAUAACAAAUUGAGUUCGAUUCAUUUGUUUGGCAUGGUUGUCCUUUUGAACUAAAUUGCAGAUUAAAAGUUUGAUAAAUUUGGAGCUUUUGGUCGAAGUAAAUAGCUCCCACUUUUUAUCGAGUAUGACAUUUUGAAAUGUAUAAUUGAGCCCAUAAGGUUAAAAUGAUUUGGAUCUCAUAUGAGAUCAGAAGUCUUACUUAAUUUAUAGUUGUGUCCUGCUUUAUUUUUUUAUUUGCUUGCUAGGUUCAAUGUCUCAAUAAUGGUUAAGAUAAUGAAUGUCAAUUUGUAGCAGAAAAAUAAUUCCAUGCAUAUUCCAGAGGUUUAAGGUCACCAUAAAAGAAGAGAACAGAGAAUAUUUAAUUUUUCUUGGUGUUUGCUAAAUGAUUGCAACCUAUAAUGAAAUAAAACAGUUUUCAUCUAGCUUUUGAGUGAAGGGAAGAGAUAAAAUAUAUGUUUUUAUACUCAUAUUGAAAAAACUUAUUAAAGGAAUAUAUUAUAGUAUAUGUUUUAUUGUUAACAUGGUCUUUUGACUUAGUGGCAACACAUUGUAAGUUAAACUUAGACUAUUUGUAAUACCUUAAAACAGAAGGAAUGUGCGGGGCAAACUUCAUUAACAAAAAAGGAAUGUGUGGGGCAAAAAGUUAACAAUUAUAUAAGGUUCUAGCUGCUCUUAGACUAGCAAAAGAGUCUCACUGGCAUAUUGAAUAGUGUUGGGUUCUGAUUUAAUAAUCAAUAUAAGAAUAUACUUUCAUUCUUUAUCAUCACUAUUUUUAUAAUCUCAUAAACUCAAUUGUUUACAUAUUGUUAUAAAAGCAGGUGAUGUUCUAACAUUCUCUAUGUCACCAGAAACUUUAAGCAUCUACUCCAAGAUUCAUUAGAUAAUCAAGUAGUACAUUAAUUUUGGAUUCCUCUGGACAUUCUAGAUUUCAAAUACACUCUUUUCAAGGAUUUAAGUUUACUUGAGUUUCAUUUUAUUCUCUAAGGAUUAAGUUGGUAGUUCUGUAUUGCAGGUGGAGACUUGAAUUCGUUGAUUUUUGUAAGCGUCCUCCUUUCUUAUAAGGACUAAUGUAAAAAUUUAAGUUCAUUGAAGUUAGUUACAGGUGGAAGACGGCGAAACUGGGAGAUAUAGGACUUUUUACAGUUAGAAAUAUCCUCUCUGGCACUUAUCUUCCUUUUGUCUUUUGCAAUUUUGCUGCUUCAACCAAUCAAUGACGGCAUGUACCUCCCAAAAUGGUGUCUUAAGGAUUUGAGAAACAUUUCGACGUACUAUGGAGCUUUUGUGGAAAAAAUAUUAAUUUGAAUUGGACAACAUAUUUAAAGUUUGUGAACUGGUAGCAGAUGCACUGAAAAUGCCUAAAUCUGAAAUCGUGGACCAUACAUGAGUGGAUCUGCUGUUUAUUUACAGAUCCACUUGCUUAGGGUAUGCCUUUGUAAUUAUUUAUAAGAUUUGUGUUUCAUCUGUCCUUUUUUCUACAGACAGUACAAUAUACAAGAUUGCAGACUCAACUUUUCUUUUAUAUUCUGGCUUGUACAUUUAUAUUUUGAUAGCAAGACACCAUGUAAGCUUUUGUAACCAAAAUAUGGAUUGGUGGUUGAAGCAUUUGCAUGUUACGUACAUCUAUAGCAAAGCCUAUUAGUCGAUUGGCC
rnacentral:lncRNA from 1 species